rnacentral:rRNA from 1 species
UACGGAGGGGGCUAGCGUUGUUCGGAAUUACUGGGCGUAAAGCGCACGUAGGCGGCUUGGUAAGUUAGAGGUGAAAGCCUGGAGCUCAACUCCAGAAUUGCCUUUAAGACUGCCGAGCUAGCAGGUGAGAGAGGUGAGUGGAAUUCCGAGUGUAGAGGUGAAAUUCGUAGAUAUUCGGAAGAACACCAGUGGCGAAGGCGGCUUUCUGGUCUGUAACUGACGCUGAGGCGCGAAAGCGUGGGGAGCAAACAGG